CCCCCUACGAGAGCCCACAGGGGGGAAUCUUGCACAAUGGGGGAAACCGUGAUGCAGCCCCGCCGCGUGGGGGAUAAAGCAUUUGGGUGUGUACCCCCCUUUAGACCCGUAUAAACCCCGGCAAGGGAGUGACGGUACGGAUAUAAAAAGCCCCGGCUAAUUACGUGCCAGCAGCCGGGGUAAGACGUAGGGGGCCAGCGUUGUUCGGAAUUACUGGGUGUAAAGGGUUUGUAGGCGGUGCGGCAAGUUGGGAGUGAAAUCUCUGGGCUUAACCCAGAGGCUGCUUCCAAAACUGCUGUGCUAGAGUGUGGGAGAGGCGCGUGGAAUUGCAGGUGUAGCGGUGAAAUGUGUAGAUAUCUGCAGGAACACCCGUGGCGAAAGGGGCGCUCUGGACCACUACUGACGCUGAGGAACGAAAGCUAGGGGAGCAAACAGGAUUAGAUCCCCUGGGAGUCCUAGGCGUAAACUUUUCUUUUUGGUCCGCCCCUGGGGUUUUCCCGUUUCUUGCGUUAAGCCCUCCACCGGGGAAUCGUGCAGUACU
rnacentral:rRNA from 1 species